CGGCGGACGGGUGAGUAACACGUGGGUAACCUGCCCAUAAGACUGGGAUAACAUUCGGAAACGAAUGCUAAUACCGGAUACGCGAAACGGUCGCAUGGCCGAAUCGGGAAAGGCGGAGCAAUCUGCCACUUAUGGAUGGACCCGCGGCGCAUUAGCUAGUUGGUGGGGUAACGGCUCACCAAGGCGACGAUGCGUAGCCGACCUGAGAGGGUGAUCGGCCACACUGGGACUGAGACACGGCCCAGACUCCUACGGGAGGCAGCAGUAGGGAAUCUUCCGCAAUGGACGAAAGUCUGACGGAGCAACGCCGCGUGAGUGAUGAAGGUUUUCGGAUCGUAAAGCUCUGUUGCCAGGGAAGAACGCUUACGAGAGUAACUGCUCGUAAGGUGACGGUACCUGAGAAGAAAGCCCCGGCUAACUACGUGCCAGCAGCCGCGGUAAUACGUAGGGGGCAAGCGUUGUCCGGAAUUAUUGGGCGUAAAGCGCGCGCAGGCGGCCUUGUAAGUCUGUCGUUUAAACUCGGAGCUCAACUUCGAGUCGCGAUGGAAACUGCAAAGCUUGAGUGCA
rnacentral:rRNA from 1 species